rnacentral:rRNA from 1 species
CCUANGGGGGGCAGCAGUAGGGAAUCUUGCGCAAUGGGCGAAAGCCUGACGCAGCGACGCCGCGUGCGGGAUGAAGGCCUUCGGGUCGUAAACCGCUUUCAGCAGGGACGAAAUUGACGGUACCUGCAGAAGAAGGCCCGGCCAACUACGUGCCAGCAGCCGCGGUGAUACGUAGGGGUCUAGCGUUGUCCGGAAUCAUUGGGCGUAAAGAGCUCGUAGGCGGUUCGGCAAGUCGGAUGUGAAAUCUCCACGCUCAACGUGGAGGGGCCAUUCGAAACUGCCGUGACUCGAGUCCGGUAGGGGAGUUCGGAAUUCCCGGUGUAGCGGUGAAAUGCGCAGAUAUCGGGAGGAACACCAGUGGCGAAGGCGGAACUCUGGGCCGGAACUGACGCUGAGGAGCGAAAGCGUGGGGAGCGAACAGGAUUAGAUACCCUGNUANUC